rnacentral:tRNA from 1 species
GCUGGGGUGGCUCAGUGGUUGAGCAUCGACCUAUGAACAGGAGGUCCUGGUUCGAUUCCUGGCCAGGGCA